ACCCAUGGUCUAUCUUUGGUCUCUCCGUGUUUUGCAUGAGGGUCAAGGGAAAGGAUAUGUAUGUUCAACGUGCCACAUACUCCCCUCCAACCAAUGGUUCAUUCCAGUAGAAAGCAUGCAAGGUAUCUAAGGAGACACUGGGCAGCCCCCGGGAUGCUGUCUAUCCCCACCUUCCUUGCCUAAGCCUUCAUGAUUCUCUGCAAGGAAAACAGGUCUUUAAUAUUUGGAUUUACCAAGCUGAGUUUCCUGAGGUUCUCAUUAAAUCCUACUUCUUAUCCCCCUCCGGAUUCUUUUCCCUCUGUCGUUAUCUCUCCUUUGCCUGUAUUUCUUCUGGAGCCCUCACUCUAUGCCCCAGAGCCCUGCCUGAGAGGCAAAUCCUUAGCCUCGAUGAGUAGGCAGCAAGCCCCUCUUGCACACAACAAAGAGUCUAUUUUUUCCCCCUGCUCUAUCUUUUGGACGACACGAUAAAAAAUAACCCUGUAUUUAUGCAAAUUGCAAAGUAGCGUGUGAUAAUGAAAACAAAACAGCGCUGGCCCGCAGCCAAGACAUGGCGUUGACGGGGGCUCCCGACCAUGUGGCUCCCGAUUCUUCAGGGAAAGCAGCUGUAGAGAAAUGAGACGACACACGGCACCCUCCUCACGCGCGCACACCCACAUCGGCACGCAUUCCGGUACCCGUCACCUUGGAGCUGGCCAAACUUGGGGAUCCAAAAGCUCUGCAGCGUCGUCCCCCACGAACCUCCCUGCCCCCUGCUCCUGAUUCCCUUUCAGGAAUUUACAAACAUUUUUCCCUAGAUCAAUAUCCGUAUUGAUUAUUCAUUGUGAGCGAGUCGUGUGUCUUUGGUGAUCCAGCUUGCAGAGGGUAGCAGCUAAAGACUGCUGCAGGGGGAAAAAAUAACAGAAGGUGAGAAGGACCCAGCUCUGACUGGGGUCUGCGGCUGUCACAUCACAGAGAGGGAGAAGAAGAAGAGAAUGCUCCAGAAUGAAAGGAUGGAGAAGGGUGGAAGAGAAAGAGGGAGCGACAGCAAGAAAGAAAGAUGCAAGGACUGCAUCUGGUCUUAGGGAUCUCAAUGGCUUGGAGGAAAGCCCCAUCAUCUUGGGUCUGCUGCUAGGUGCAAAAUGCCGUGCGUUCCUCUGCUCUGGGAGUGAACAGUGACUCACGGUUUUGGUGUCUUCCUACGUAAGAGCUUUUGGUGGGGGGAUUCCUUGGCUUGCUGACAGACAAGGAAGGACGCAGCAGCAGUGAGGUAAAAGAAGAGGAAGAAAAAAAAAAAGCAACCCAGUCCUUUCCAACCGAUUCGCCGAGGAUGUGCACCGGUUCGGUUUGAUUUGAACAGCUUGCUGCUCUAAAUGGCAUGCAGGAGGAUAAUUAAAAAGGCCAGCAUCACUUACUAAGGAUUACUGGAAAAGACGGUGAGAGGAUGACAGGAAGACAUCUUGGAUCAGAGCCAAAAAAAUAAUAAUCAAGGCAAAUCAAGUCUGCAGUUCGGAGAAAACACCCAUGGCUUGGGAAGCUCCGAAGGGAACCUGGGAACUGCUGGAGUUCUUCAGCCGAGGCUGGGAAUAUUGUUGUGGGCACAAGAGGACAAGAUUGGGGAAAGUCAUGGCAUGCCAGCUUACACAGCUAAGCCGCACACUGAGGAAAAAGAAAAGCCACACCAGAUCCACACCAGACCCAAACAGUGAGAGCCAACAUAUCCUUUGCUUUGGAGUCUUUCUGCUGGCUCCAAGUCAUUCCGUCUAUUUAGAGCAAUUCCACAACAUGCCUCCUGCCAGUAGCUGCUAUUCUCCUUGCCUGUCUUCAGAAGUUGCCUCACUGUUGAACGGGAGAGUGGAAAGAGGGGAGACUCAGUUUUCCAUUGGCUGGGAUUCUGGCAAAUGGGCCAGGUGAUUGUGUUUGCCAUUUGGACAGACAUACGGGAGCUGGUUGGGGAUUCCUCUUUGUUGUCACCCAGCUGUGGCUUGGUGAGUCCCAAACCAACCGUGAACUCUUUUUAUACACUGUUCCAAACGCAUAUGGACAAGAUGGGGACCCCAAGGAAUAAAAACAGUUGGAUUUUCUUUU